AACUGCUCCGCUCCCUGACAGGAUUUUUCAUUCAUUCGUGCCAAUGAAACAGGAGGCCUCGAUUCGUGCAGAAGAUAAGGUUUGAAACCCAGACAGCACGAAGCAUCUUGCCGACGUCAAAAUCAGAUCAACAGACAGGGACAUCAGCCUUCUCUUGGGAAUAGGCCAGAUAUGCCAUAACAAGAAAUGGUGUUUUACCCCUGCGGUUGUGAAGAGGAUGCUGUGGAGGUGGCAGCAUGAACGUGUCACACAGACAUUGGCUAAACUACUCGGUAGGUACAACGAAAUAAAAGAAACCACCCCCUCAACCCUGUUUAUGCUGCACUGUACCUAUUAUAACCAGUUUUUAUAUAGACCAUUAUUUGAAAUACUAUGAGAGCCUUUCUGUUAGGAUACUGUACAGCAGGGAUGGGCAACUGGAGGCUCGGGCGCCACAUGCAGCCCAACUUCUCACUUUUUAAAAAAAGAAAAAGGACAGUUUUUAACCCCCUAUAAAUCAAUAGUGUAAGCAUUCAGGUAUAAAUAAAGAAAAAGUGAAGUAUCCUUUUGUAAAUUCUCUCAAGUGCGUGGUGAUGUGGCCCACUGAUUGUGGUAAUUAAAAAUGUUGGCCCACCUUAUAAUGAAAGUUGCCCACCCCUGCUGUACAGCCUACAGUGA